GCAAGGAAUAUUGUGCAAUGGGCGAAAGCCUGACACAGCGACGUCGCGUGGGGGAUGAAGGUCUUCGGAUUGUAAACCCCUUUUCUGAGGGAAGAAUAAUGACGGUACCUCAGGAAUAAGUCUCGGCUAACUACGUGCCAGCAGCCGCGGUAAUACGUAGGAGGCAAGCGUUAUCCGGAUUCAUUGGGCGUAAAGAGCGAGCAGGCGGCCUUUUAAGUCGGAUGUGAAAUCUCUUGGCUUAACUGAGAGAGGUCAUCCGAUACUGGAAAGCUAGAGUGCAGCAGAGGAAGGCGGAAUUCCCGGUGUAGUGGUGAAAUACGUAGAUAUCGGGAGGAACACCAGUGGCGAAGGCGGCCUUCUGGGCUGUAACUGACGCUGAGGCGCGAAAGCGUGGGGAGCAAACAGGAUCAGAAACCCGAGUAGUCC
rnacentral:rRNA from 1 species